UACAGAGGUCUCAAGCGUUGUUCGGAUUCAUUGGGCGUAAAGGGUGCGUAGGCGGCGCGGUAAGUCGGGUGUGAAAUCUCGGAGCUUAACUCCGAAACUGCAUUCGAUACUGCGUGGCUAGAGUGCUGGAGAGGAGACUGGAAUUUACGGUGUAGCAGUGAAAUGCGUAGAUAUCGUAAGGAAGACCAGUGGCGAAGGCGAGUCUCUGGACAGCAACUGACGCUGAGGCACGAAGGCCAGGGGAGCAAACGGG
rnacentral:rRNA from 1 species